UUGGAUUUUCUAAGUACGUUUGUACUCACCCUUGCUUUGUGGAUACAGAGGAAGACCCGGAGUACGUCGCUGGUGAAACUUUCAAGCACCCAACUUGCCUGUGGCAUUGGGCUGUUAAGGAUGCUUCCGCUACCGUGCAGUGCUGCAUGCUGCUGAUGGACUUGGAUGUCCAUAGGUUGCAUCUACAAAGUUUGUUUGUGUUAUAUCUCUUUUGGGUCUAUGUUACCCGAUCGCUUCCUAGAGAGUUGUACACUUAUUGAACUAUCUAUUGAAUUAAUGUGUGUACCAGCCUUUCUAGGACUGGUAUUUGUAUUACAUUUAAUCCAUGUGCAAAUGGGGGCCCUUCAUUGCUCUUCGGGACUAUUGCAUUCCUACCCCUAUUCUGAACCUCAAUUGUAAUUUUACCCUCACUUUUCUUUACUUUGUGAUUUUACCCCUACUAUUUGAAGAUGAAGACUCUGUUUACCCUUGUUCUUAACUCUGUUAGAUCCAUUUAUAAUAAACCAAUUAAAAAAAUAGAAAAACCCUUCACAAUAUGGUGAAAAGUCACGACUAUCCCUUAUCCUGUUCCCUCCCUCCACCCUACCCCGGCACCACCUCAAGAUCCUUAAUCACAUAGUGGAGAAAUGUGUGGGUAAAAUCACAAUUGAACUUCAGAUUUGGGUAAGUAUGCAAUAGCCCCUUACUCUUUUGUGAUGAACGAUUAACAAUACUUGUGCCUUGAUGUAUCUCUUGGAUUGCGAUAUGUAGGUGUUGGAUGUAACAUGGUGGUGGUUGAUGUCAAGCGGUGAAGGUCAUGUGAGUGUUCAUACUGAAAGACCCAAUGUAGUGAAGGAUGAACAAAUGCUUGUGAUCGAGGAACAAGAGGAGUCUGUGCAAGAUUGUGGUGGUCAACAUUAUGCAUAUGAAGAGCAAGAGUACUUGUUGAUGGAGAUCCUAUCAACCGAGUCAGGUAAGAAGAUGAUAGAAAGAUUGAGUAGGUCACCCAUCCAUGGGAACACAAAAGAAUUGAAGCCGUCAAGGCUUGGAAGGAGGUCAAACAUCACUACUAGAAAUAUGACCUCUUGUCCCUAGAGUUUGUACCGGUUACAUUUGGAACUGGUACUAAUGUUAGCAUUAGUACCGGUUCCAACAGAUAUAGCCUGGAGCGUGCCUCGUGGACCCCUUUAGUACCGGUUGGGCCAACAACCGGUAUUAAAGGGUGCACAUUAGUACC
rnacentral:lncRNA from 1 species